UGUUUGUCAUGCUCAUUGAGUGACAGGACCACAGAGGACAGAGACACAGACAUCAUUCUCUCUCAAUAUCUCUCCCAUUUCUCAGCCCUCAUACACCUGGGCAAUCCAAUGGUCGGAAGACUUACCCCCUAACAUGAUGUAAUCCCUGAUGAAGGGGACCUGGAAAAACAUGUUCAGUGUCAUAAGAUGUGGGCGGAUGCCAGGGAAGAUCGAGGAGAAGCCAGUGGCCUCAGUGCACAGGCCUGGAGCAGAGGAGAUGCUCUGGGAGACCGUGGAAUGAAGAGGGAGAGAGAGCGGACUCAUGAAGGGAUUAAGCCAAUAUAGCCCACCAGGGGAGGGAGGCCUCCUGCCCAAGGCAGAGUCAUGCAUUUGACAGUAACUCCAGUUGUAAAGAGAGCCAGAUGCUGUCCUGAGGUCUCCAGGAUGACCUGAUGUCUCAUGGAAUCCACACAACCCAAUGAUGUAUGCUGUAUCAUCUCUACAUAUGAAGAAAUGGAGGCUCAGAAAGGCUAUUUUAUUAUAUUCAAUAAGGUGUGCAGUAGGUAGGUUGCACACAUGGUAUUAGAACUUAUUCUGCCCAGGCCCAAAGAAUAUACUCCAUAUAUUUCUUCUCUCCUGUGUGCAGAGGACAGCUGCCUGCCCUUGCCUGGCACUCUGUUUCCCUUCUGCCUUCCCUACCCUUUUUGGUCAAUGAGCCAUCCUUUCCUCACUGAUUACAGACUGAGUUUAUUCACUCUGAGAUAAAGAAAAGAGCAGAAUGGAGUUGGUCAAAUCAAUAAGUUUUCUUCCAUCAGGACUGAUCUUUGGGUCUGUGGUCAGGCCUUCACAGUGGCCACGAGGAGCUCUGAGUCAGAGAAUCAGAGGCACUCAGAGUAGGAGGGAGCGGACUGCUUAGGGGAUACAUGGAUAAACUGAGAUCAGAACAGGAAAGGCUUUCCAAGAAUGCAUACCAUACCCAGAUUGCAACAGGAUAAAACCUGAGAACCAGUUCAGGGCUCUCUGUUUUGCUUUAUCUACCCAGAAAUGCACUAAUUGUAAAGCUAGUAAAAGAACUUCCUGUGUGACCUUGGUCAUACCUUCCUCUCUCCUGGGUGCCUGUCUCCUUAUAUGAUGAACUGUAAGGCCAGAAGUUCUCUAAGGACAUGACUUUAUUACCUGCACCCUCAAGCAUGGCUGCUGAGAGGUGCAGGUAAGUUACAUAUGUGUGUCACACUAGAUGGCCCACAAGACUCCUUCAAAUCCUAUUUAUUCAUCAAUCCUCAUAUCGGCCGUACAUCUCUGCAGAUGGAAAACCAUGGGCAGACAGAGGCUGGACUCUCUUCCAGGCCACAUAGCGGUGGAAGCCUGGUUCCUCUCUCCCAGCCCAGUACCCUACUCACUGCACACAGUAUCACACUUCCCCAUGGACACGUGGGGCACUACAGUCCUGGCCACACCCCAGAUAGUUCCAUUACUCACCGAGAUGGGGAAAUAGUCUUUCAUGUACUUCCAUAAGAUCCAUGACCUGAAGGCCUGGAUGUGCCUGCCUCCGUGCCGUGGCGUGUCUCGGUCC